rnacentral:rRNA from 1 species
UGGUGGAGCAAUUUGUCUGGUUAAUUCCGUUAACGAACGAGACCUCGACCUGCUAAAUAGCGCGGCGAACCCUUCGGGGUUCGUACGUGACUUCUUAGAGGGACUAUCGGUGUGUAGCCGAUGGAAGUUCGAGGCAAUAACA